rnacentral:rRNA from 1 species
AUCUUCGGCAAUGGGCGCAAGCCUGACCGAGCGACGCCGCGUGAGCGAUGAAGGCCUUCGGGUCGUAAAGCUCUGUCGGGGGGGAGAAAAGGGUUAAACCUUGAUCGACCCCCGGAGGAAGCACGGGCUAAGUUCGUGCCAGCAGCCGCGGUAAGACGAACCGUGCGAACGUUAUUCGGAAUCACUGGGCUUAAAGGGCGCGUAGGCGGGCUCGUUAGUCAGGGGUGAAAGCCCACGGCCCAACCGUGGAAGUGCCUCUGAUACUGCGAGCCUCGAGGGGGAUAGGGGCGUGCGGAACUCAGGGUGGAGCGGUGAAAUGCGUAGAUAUCCUGAGGAACACCGGUGGCGAAAGCGGCGCGCUGGAUCCCUUCUGACGCUGAGGCGCGAAAGCCAGGGGAGCAAAC